UGUAAACUCCUUGCUGAUAGGAUAAGAGAUGUCACAAUGUUGACUUAUACUCUUCUUGUACUUAAACACAAAUAUGGAUUUAAUUCACCUCACGGGGUACAACAAAAAAUCCCCUUCAGUUUGAUGUCAGAAAUGAGAUUGCUGCUCACUGACAGAAGUGACUGCACUGGAAUUGGAGGGGAGACCCAAGAUGACACCAUCAUGAGAGCAGGAAAGAGCAGGAAAGAGCAGGUGGAUUGAUUCAACUUAACGGAAAGAAAAUGACAUCUUUCAUGGCACAGAUACAUUUCUGAGACUUGUCACAGUCAGCCCUGGAAGGUGACGCAGAGAUUAAUGUAGUGGGGUGCUGCACAAAAUGCAUUCUAAAAAAAAAGGAAGUUCUCCUUCAACACAAUGCAUCUUUGAAAGUAUGCAUUCAAGGAAUUCUUAAAAAUUCUCUGUUUUAUAGCUGCAGAGUUUCU
ensembl:lncRNA